GUGCCCAUCACCUUCUUGCCGAGGAACCGAGGGGACUAUGCUCAGUUCUGGGACCUGGAGUGUCACCCAGUGGCUGAGCCUCAGCACAAGACCAGGAUCCGCUUCCAGCUCUGUGGCACUGGUGUGAAGGUUGGUCCAGCGGCGGCUCCUCAGGAAGCAGACUGUUCUCUGGUGAAGACUGAAGCCUUUAAGACCAGGAGAAGACCUGACCCGGUCGCUGAUGGGGGCAUGACUGGGUGAGGACUGGCCCUCAGGUCACCCUAGUGAGGACUGGCCCUCAGGUCCCCCUAGUGAGGACUGGUCAGGAGGAGCCUCUAUGUAGAGGGGUCUACGCCCCCAGGACCACUACUCAUUCCCCCCUACCAGGGUGGGGGAGACCAGCACACUGAAGGUCAACAUGAGAAACAACUCCUUGGAAACGCAUGGGCUGAUGUUCCUAACCCCUAAAGAGCCCUUCCACAUCAAGCAUUCCAGAUAUUCCCUACGAUCCCAACGCUACAUCCACCUGCCAGUCCAGUUCAAGCCGGUUGUCACCGGCAACCACUCCAGCCAGCUGUUGGUUCAGACGGAUACCAGUGGAAACAUCGCUAUCCAGCUGACUGGUGAAGCCCUGGCCUGAGGACGUCUGGGUCAGGGAGGACUGCUGGGUCUGGGUCAGGGAGGACUGCUGGGUCAGGGAGGACUGCUGGGUCUGGGUCAGGGAGGACUGCUGGGUCUGGGUCAGGGAGGACUGCUGGGUCUGGGUCAGGGAGGACUGCUGGGUCUGGGUCAGGGAGGACUGCUGGGUCUGGGUCUGGGAGGACUGCUGGGUCUGGGUCAGGGAGGACGUCUGGGUCUGGGAGGACUGCUGGGUCUGGGUCUGGGAGGACUGCUGGGUCUGGGUCAGGGAGGACUGCUGGGUCUGGGUCAGGGGAGGACUGCUGGGUCUGGGUCAGGGAGGACUGCUGGGUCUGGGUCAGGGAGGACUGCUGGGUCUGGGUCAGGGAGGACUGCUGGGUCUGGGUCAGGGAGGACUGCUGGGUCUGGGUCAGGGAGGACUGCUGGGUCUGGGUCAGGGAGGACUGCUGGGUCUGGGUCUGGGAGGACUGCUGGGUCUGGGUCAGUGAGGACAGCUUGAUGUGGUUACCAUGGUGGGGUAGAUGGGUAAUGAACUCUCUCCCAGUGGACAGCUUGAUGUGGUUACCAUGGUGGGAUAGAUGGGUAAUGAACCCUCUCCCAGUGGACAGCUUGAUGUGGUUACCAUGGUGGGAUAGAUGGGUAAUGAACUCUCUCCCAGUGGACAGCUUGAUAUCCUCUGGGGGUCUACAGCUCUAUAUCCUAUCCUCUGGGGGUCUACAUAGAGCCAGCAGACUACAGCUCUAUAUCCUCUGGGGGUCUACAUAGAGCCAACAGACUACAGCUCUAUAUUCUAUCCUCUGGGGUCUGCAGCUCUAUAUCCUAUCCUAUGGGGGUCUACAGCUCUAUAUCCUCUGGGGGUCUACAGCUCUAUAUCCUAUCCUCUGGGGGUCUACAUAGAGCUAGCAGACUACAGCUCUAUAUCCUAUCCUCUGGGGGUCUACAUAGAGCUAGCAGACUACAGCUCUAUAUCCUGUCAUCUGGGGGUCUACAGCUCUAUAUCCUAUCCUCUGGGGGUCUGCAUAGAGCUAGCAGACUACAGCUCCAUAGCCUAUCCCCUGGGGGUCUACAUAGAGCUAGCAGUCUACAGCUCUAUAUCCUAUCCUCUGGGGGUCUACAGCUCUAUAUCCUAUCCUCUGGGGGUCUACAGCUCUAUAUCCUAUCCUCUGGGGGUCUACAUAGAGCCAGCAGACUACAGCUCUAUAUCCUGUCCUCUGGGGGUCUGCAGCUCUAUAUCCUAUCCUCUGGGGGUCUACAGCUCUAUAUCCUAUCCUCUGGGGGUCUACAGCUCAAUAUCCUAUCCUCUGGGGGUCUACAGCUCUAUAUCCUAUCCUCUGGGGGUCUACAGCUCUAUAUCCUAUCCUCUGGGGGUCUACAGCUCUAUAUCCUAUCCUCUGGGGUCUACAGCUCUAUAUCCUAUCCUCUGGGGGUCUACAUAGAGCCAGCAGACUACAGCUCUAUAUCCUGUCCUCUGGGGGUCUGCAGCUCUAUAUCCUAUCCUCUGGUGGUCUGCAGCUCUAUAUCCUAUCCUCUGGGGGUCUACAUAGAGCUAGCAGACUACAGCUCUAUAUCCUGUCCUCUGGGGGUCUACAGCUCUAUAUCCUAUCCUCUGGGGGUCUGCAUAGAGCUAGCAGACUACAGCUCUAUAGCCUAUCCCCUGGGGGUCUAUAUAGAGCCAGCAGUCUACAGCUCUAUAUCCUAUCCUCUGGGGGUCUACAGCUCUAUAUCCUAUCCUCUGGGGGUCUACAUAGAGCCAGCAGACUACAUCCUGUCCUCUGGGGGUCUGCAGCUCUAUAUCCUAUGCUCUGGGGGUCUGCAGCUCUAUAUCCUAUCCUCUGGGGGUCUACAGCUCUAUAUCCUAUCCUCUGGGGGUCUACAGCUCAAUAUCCUAUCCUCUGGGGGUCUACAGCUCUAUAUCCUAUCCUCUGGGGGUCUGCAGCUCUAUAUCCAAUCCUCUGGGGUCUACAGCUCUAUAUCCAAUCCUCUGGGGGUCUACAGCUCUAUAUCCUAUCCUCUGGGGGUCUACAGCUCUAUAUCCUAUCCUCUGGGAGUCUACAGCUCUAUCCUAUCCUCUGGGGGUCUACAGCUCUAUAUCCCUAUCCUCUGGGGGUCUACAUAGAGCCAGCAGACUACAGCUCUAUAUCCUAUCCUCUGGGGGGUCUACAGCUCUAUAUCCUAUCCUCUGGGGGUCUACAGCUCUAUAUCCUAUCCUCUGGGGGUCUAUAUAGAGCUAGCAGACUACAGCUCUAUAUCCUGUCCUCUGGGGGUCUACAGCUCUAUAUCGUGUCCUCUGGGGGUCUACAGCUCUAUCCUGUCCCUCUGGGGUCUACAGCUCUAUAUCCUAUCCUCUGGGGGUCUACAUAGAGCUAGCAGACUACAGCUCUAUAUCCUAUCCUCUGGGGGUCUGCAGCUCUAUAUCCUAUCCUCUGGGGGUCUACAGCUCUAUAUCCUGUCCUCUGGGGGUCUACAUAGAGCCAGCAGUCUACAGCUCUAUAUCCUGUCCUCUGGGGGUCUACAGCUCUAUAUCCUAUCCUCUGGGGGUCUACAGCUCUAUAUCCUGUCCUCUGGGGGUCUACAUAGAGCCAGCAGUCUACAGCUCUAUAUCCUGUCCUCUGGGGGUCUACAGCUCUAUAUCCUGUCCUCUGGGGGUCUACAUAGAGCUAGCAGACUACAGCUCUAUAUCCUGUCCUCUGGGGGUCUACAGCUCUAUAUCCUAUCCUCUGGGGGUCUACAUAGAGCUAGCAGACUACAGCUCUAUAUCCUGUCCUCUGGGGGUCUACAGCUCUAUAUCCUGUCCUCUGGGGGUCUACAGCUCUAUAUCCUGUCCUCUGGGGGUCUACAUAGAGCUAGCAGUCUACAGCUCUAUAUCCUAUCCUCUG
rnacentral:lncRNA from 1 species